UACGUAGGGGGCCAGCGUUGUUCGGAAUUACUGGGCGUAAAGGGUUCGUAGGCGGUGCGGUAAGUCGGAAGUGAAAUCUCUGAGCUUAACUCAGAGGCUGCUUUCGAAACUGCCGUGCUCGAGUGCGGGAGAGGCGAGUGGAAUUGCAGGUGUAGCGGUGAAAUGCGUAGAUAUCUGCAGGAACACCCGUGGCGAAGGCGGCUCGCUGGACCGCAACUGACGCUGAGGAGCGAAAGCUAGGGGAG
rnacentral:rRNA from 1 species